ensembl:snRNA U6 U6 spliceosomal RNA
GCGCUUGCUGCCACAGCACAUCGACUAACACGGGAACCAUCCAGAGAAGAUCAGCACGGCCCCUGAACGUGGACGACACACGCACAUACGUGAAGAGUUCCGUAGCUUU